rnacentral:rRNA from 1 species
GUGGAUUAGAUACCCUGGUAGUCCACGCUGUAAACGAUGUCGAUUUGGAGGUUGUGGUCUUGAACCGUGGCUUCCGGAGCUAACGCGUUAAAUCUACCGCCUGGGGAGUACGGCCGCAAGGUUAAAACUCAAAUGAAUUGACGGGGGCCCGCACAAGCGGUGGAGCAUGUGGUUUAAUUCGAUGCAACGCGAAGAACCUUACCUACUCUUGACAUCCAGAGAAGCCAGCAGAGAUGCGGGUGUGCCUUCGGGAGCUCUGAGACAGGUGCUGCACGGCUGUCGCCAGCU